AGGGGUGUGAUGAAACUGGAAAGACAUGCAGGAUUUUGAUUCCUGUGCCGUAAGGCGUGAGCGUUCAAAUCGCUUCACCCCUG
rnacentral:tRNA from 1 species